AACAACUGUAACCUAAAUUUUGACACCAUUUGGCAGUGGCACAAAAGAGUUAUUAAUAGAGACUGAAGUAAAAAAUAAAGAUUUAUCGCAGAUAAUAUGAUCAGUAGCACCCAUGUCCACAAUCCAUGGAGGUUGAACAAAUUCAGCACUAAAAAUUUUAUGCAAAACUGAACACGAAAUGGGAGAAAAAAAAAUACCCGUAGCAUUACUUGUGAAACAUUUUAAGCAAUAAAAUUAGGAACAAAAACAUUAGAUUGAUCAUUGAAAAGUGACAUGAGUUUGUUCACUUGCUCCUUAGAAAGAUUCAACUGAGGAACAUUAUCAACCACUUUCUCAGAAGACAUGUUGGUGACUUGUUGAACAGAACUUGCUUUGGAGCUGAGUGAGAACUACCAGAUCCUGCCUUAGACUUGGUAAAUUUGAAAUCAGGUAGAAAUCCUAUAAGGCGGAAAAAAAUUAUCCUUAAUAUAUCCAGGCUUGCCACAAUGAAAGCAAGUCAGAUAAUUUUUUUCUUCAUAACAGCCAUGGCAGAUGCUUCUGAGAAAUUCUGAAUUUGUAACAUAAGAGAUCUUUGUGUUUCUUCACGCAAAAGCAUGUUAUAAACUUGAUCUAGAGAUGGAAAUGGCUUCAUCAAUAUAACAUGUGACCUUAAGCCCUGAUAAAUCCCAUUCAAUCCAUUCAGAAACUUAAACACAUCAUCCUUUUGUUGAACUUCGACAGAUUUUUGGAAAAUUCCAUAUUGCAUUUUCCAUAAUAACAAUAAGGAAGAGGCCUAAAAUUCCUUAGUUCCUCCCAAAUUCCAUUCAAUUCAGUAAAAUACGCAUCAAUUGACUUAGUACCUUGUGUGAUGGUACAUAACAGAUGUUGAAGAUGACAAAUCCCCGAAUCAUCGAGCAAAGAAAAACUUUGAUGCAAUUUUUCCCAAAUCUGCUUUGCAUCUUCCAUGUAAAAGACAGUGGAUGUAAUUGGUGGUGAAAUAGAUCUGAGAAGCCAUGCCACUAUGCGAUGAAUACAUGGCAAAUACAAAGGAUCUUCUGGCGAGGGCUUACUUAUUAAACAAUUAAGAAAGCGUUACUUAUUCCUUAUCGAGACAGCAAG
rnacentral:misc_RNA from 1 species